rnacentral:lncRNA from 1 species
GACGUGGUGGGGAAGCAGAGUAAAAGUUCAGCAAGUGCAGUGGGACGUAGGGAGGAAUAAAGGGGAGGCAGACGGGUCCAAGAGCAAAUUACGUGAGGAGCAGCUGUUUGCUUCCUUUUAGGAAGAAGUGGUGAUGUUUCCUCAGUGAUUUGCUUUUAGUCAGAUAAACACAGCUGGGGGUAAGAGAUUCAUCAGGCUGGGCAGAGCUAUACAUCUGCCCCAAAGAGCUAAAGUUGCCAGAUUUAGCUCAACCACUUCACUGCAGAAAGGUUGAGGUUAGGAGCACUUUCACACCCUGCGGAAAGAGAACCAGCUUUAUUUUGAGCUGCUAGGAAAAGAACUGGAGUGAGAAUCUGACCCUAAGAAAAAAAGAGAAAUGGGCUUCCUGGCACCUGGAUAGUCAGAGUACAUAACAGAGCACUCUUCUGGCCAGAUCAUAGUUUGUUAUCUUCUAGAUAUGUAAGUUUUAGAAAUUAUAAUGAGCAAUAUUUAGGUGGAGACUUUUGUUUCAGGUUAAGCUUUAUUCGGAUGGUAUUUAACCUGCUUUGAAAAAGUCAGAAGUUUUAAUGUGUUUUGUGAGGCUGUGCUAGCACCAUGUGGACUUUAAUUGUAAUGCCAUUAGAAUACCCUGUGAGAGGUGAAUUUAGAGAGCUGGAUUAUGAAGGCAAGUGCUUUACAGAUGAAAACAAGCCAUAGUGCUCAUCUCAAGGAUUUUAUAAUCUCAAGCAUCAGCAUCAAAAUACACUGAAGAUAAAUUAUGGACCAUAUAACAAGAACAGAUGAGCUGUGGUAAUCAUAUAAUCAUUGUGAAUGCUUUAUUGAUUUAUGCUUUCUAAGGCAUAAGUUUAAAAGAUGAAGGGAGGAGCUACAGAACUUGGAAUGGCAUGAGUUGGCAUGAAGACGAAUGAAAGAAGAAGUUAGAAGUAAGUCCCGAGUCAGUGAAGUACCUACCAUUCUGCUUGUCUAGCACAGGAUGUUUCAUCUUAGCAUCUAAUGGAACUCAGGCAUCCAAAUAGAUUUACAAAAUUUGAGUUAAACAACUAAACCAAAGCAUUCAUAUCUUCCAUUGCUAAAGAGGAUACACACUGAUUUUUAGCAACAAUUAAAAAUUGCCAUAUGAUUUUGAUGGCCUACAUACAAUCCAGGCCCCUUACUGCUCACCGUAGAUGUGAACUUAGAAGAUAAUUUUAAAGUCAGUUUUCCUGUGACAAGGGAAUGCUUGUCAGAAGUUAGAUAGAGCCUGACUAGUUAAUAAAUUGCUUUCGGGCUCUGCUAGAAGAUCA